GGGUUGUAGCUCAGUUGGUAGAGCGCUUGCCUUGCACGCAGGAUGUCAGGAGUUCGAGUCUCCUCAGCUCC
rnacentral:tRNA from 1 species